rnacentral:rRNA from 1 species
GAGUUUGAUCGUGGCUCAGAUUGAACGCUGGCGGCAUGCCUUACACAUGCAAGUCGAACGGUAACAGGUUAAGCUGACGAGUGGCGAACGGGUGAGUAAUAUAUCGGAACGUGCCCAGUCGUGGGGGAUAACUGCUCGAAAGAGCAGCUAAUACCGCAUACGACCUGAGGGUGAAAGCGGGGGAUCGCAAGACCUCGCGCGAUUGGAGCGGCCGAUAUCAGAUUAGGUAGUUGGUGGGGUAAAAGCCUACCAAGCCAACGAUCUGUAGCUGGUCUGAGAGGACGACCAGCCACACUGGGACUGAGACACGGCCCAGACUCCUACGGGAGGCAGCAGUGGGGAAUUUUGGACAAUGGACGCAAGUCUGAUCCAGCCAUGCCGCGUGCGGGAAGAAGGCC